AAGAUACAGAUGACACAGUGAUGAGAGACUUGCAAGCAAUCAGGUUUUUGCAACAUCAAUUAAUCCAAGAAGCGAUUUUAUGCUGUACCUCCUUACUGAUCGGUAACCAUGCAUGAGGUUACACGUCCCCUCCCCCACCAAGAAUGUGCCUCCCUGCUGCAUUAGUAACUAUCUCUUCAACGCAUAUUCAGUUACCAGUCUCCCUCUAUAAUCAGCAGCAGCUUUUUUUUUGCAUUCUAGUAGACUAAAAGGACUGCAGUCGUUCAAAAUGCACUUUUGAAAUACACAUGCUGUGAAUGAAAAUGCAUAAUUUCAAGUACAGGCAGUCGCUGCUGUCCCUUCAUCAGCACCUCUGUCUCAGAUCUCCAAUGCAGCAAAAUUCCUGGUGCUUCUGAACAUUUUGAAUGCCUUGCAGUUGGAGUCCUAGUCAUAACCCUGGACUCCAUUGUGGUGGACACUGUACACACAGAGACAAAAAGUGUUGGAUUUAAGAACAGGCCGAAAGGAUGACCACAGGAAAGCACAAGAGAACAUGCCACAGGAAACCACAGAAGUACAAUAUUGCACAUCAGUAAGUAUCUGCAGAGGUGCAAAGGGGUAAUGAAAAGGGA